rnacentral:rRNA from 1 species
UAGUUGGUAAGGUAACGGCUUACCAAGGCGACGAUCAGUAGCCGACCUGAGAGGGUGAUCGGCCACAUUGGAACUGAGACACGGUCCAAACUCCUACGGGAGGCAGCAGUGGGGCAUAUUGCACAAUGGGCGAAAGCCUGAUGCAGCAACGCCGCGUGAGUGAUGAAGGCCUUCGGGUCGUAAAACUCUGUCCUCAAGGAAGAUAAUGACGGUACUUG